CACGUGGGUAACCUGCCUGUAAGACUGGGAUAACUCCGGGAAACCGGGGCUAAUACCGGAUGGUUGUUUGAACCGCAUGGUUCAAACAUAAAAGGUGGCUUCGGCUACCACUUACAGAUGGACCCGCGGCGCAUUAGCUAGUUGGUGAGGUAACGGCUCACCAAGGCAACGAUGCGUAGCCGACCUGAGAGGGUGAUCGGCCACACUGGGACUGAGACACGGCCCAGACUCCUACGGGAGGCAGCAGUAGGGAAUCUUCCGCAAUGGACGAAAGUCUGACGGAGCAACGCCGCGUGAGUGAUGAAGGUUUUCGGAUCGUAAAGCUCUGUUGUUAGGGAAGAACAAGUACCGUUCGAAUAGGGCGGUACCUUGACGGUACCUAACCAGAAAGCCACGGCUAACUACGUGCCAGCAGCCGCGGUAAUACGUAGGUGGCAAGCGUUGUCCGGAAUUAUUGGGCGUAAAGGGCUCGCAGGCGGUUUCUUAAGUCUGAUGUGAAAGCCCCCGGCUCAACCGGGGAGGGUCAUUGGAAACUGGGGAACUUGAGUGCAGAAGAGGAGAGUGGAAUUCCACGUGUAGCGGUGAAAUGCGUAGAGAUGUGGAGGAACACCAGUGGCG
rnacentral:rRNA from 1 species